rnacentral:rRNA from 1 species
UGGGGAAUUUUGGACAAUGGGGGAAACCCUGAUCCAGCCAUCCCGCGUGUGCGAUGAAGGCCUUCGGGUUGUAAAGCACUUUUGGCAGGAAAGAAACGUCGCGGGUUAAUACCCCGCGAAACUGACGGUACCUGCAGAAUAAGCACCGGCUAACUACGUGCCAGCAGCCGCGGUAAUACGUAGGGUGCAAGCGUUAAUCGGAAUUACUGGGCGUAAAGCGUGCGCAGGCGGUUCGGAAAGAAAGAUGUGAAAUCCCAGAGCUUAACUUUGGAACUGCAUUUUUAACUACCGGGCUAGAGUGUGUCAGAGGGAGGUGGAAUUCCGCGUGUAGCAGUGAAANCGUAGAUAUGCGGAGGAACACCGGUGGCGAAGGCAGCCUCCUGGGAUAACACUGACGCUCAUGCACGAAAGCGUGGGGAGCAAACAGGAUUAGAUACCCUGGUAGUCCACGCCCUAAACGAUGUCAACUAGCUGUUGGGGCCUUCGGGCCUUGGUAGCGCAGCUAACGCGUGAAGUUGACCGCCU